CGCCGGAGAGGCCAGGCGGCCCAGGAGAGGCUCUCCAGGUUCGUGACGCGCCGCUGGUUAGCCUGCUGUGAACCAGGAACAAAUUUUACACUCUCCGUCUAGAGGCCCUUAGAAUAAUGGCGUCGGUUGUAUAGCAACGUGAGCAAAGUGGGAGGGAGAUAGGAGUAGCUUCCCAGCGCCUGUCCCGACAACGAAGUCCCGCUCAGAGACACCAGCCAAGCACGAGAAGGAAGAACUACCACCGCCGCGAGUCACUGCCGACGACACCGAGCCGAGCAGAACCAUGGUUCUCGGAACCCAAGGCGUUACCUUUAUUCUUGGGCAUUGCGGUAACUGCGACCUCAGCGUUUCCAACUGGGUUCCGGUGUCGGUGGCGCUGCUAGGUAAUCCUCCGAGGUGCCGAAAGAAACUAGUAGUUGCAGACUGCGAACACACAGCUCAAGCGAGAUCCGCAGGCAGCCACGCUUACUGGCAAGCAAAUGGCUGCGCAGGAGGCUUCACGGCUUCCCCAUCCCCCGAGCUCGACCUCUCCCCGCCGCCCCCCCUACUGCGCAGGCGUAGCCCACAGCUACUGACUUCCCGCUGCUGGAGAAAGUGAGACACACUGUGGGCGGUUCCAGUAGGAAAAGAUGCUGAAACCCCCACCAGGUGGGAGAAGUUAACUGUAUGCUGCCCACAAGCACACAGACCCCAGACCGGUUGGAACCAUAAGGUUGAUGGCUCUGACUGCCACUUACCUCCCCACCAGCCAAUCAGAAGAAUGUCCACGAGCUGAUCACACCCUCUGUGAACCAUUGCUAUAAAACUCCUCACUACCCCCUCCAGGGUGGGACAUGCAGUUUUGAGGGCAUGAGCCCACUGUGACCCCCUUUGCCUGGCAAAGCAAUAAAGCUCUUCUGUUCUGCUUCACCCAAA